rnacentral:lncRNA from 1 species
GCUAUUUCCUUUCCGUUCCCAGUGUGAUAUAAAUUUUAUCAUCCCAGUGACAUUAAUUUGCUAGAUCCGCCCCUCUCUGAAAGACUCCUGACAAGAGGACUGCACGGCAAGCUCCUGCGCUCUCUGCCUCACCAUCGAGUUUCUCAGAUAUUUUGAUGUUGGCUCAGAAGUGCCUUUCUUCUGCUGUUUUUGUUUCUCAGCAUGAACUUUAUGGUCCCCAGAGGUAGAUUCAGAGUUUAAAGGAACUGGUUUUUCAUUACUG